UACGGGGGGAGCAAGCGUUGUUCGGAUUUACUGGGCGUAAAGGGCGCGUAGGCGGCGCAACAAGUCACUUGUGAAAUCUCCGGGCUUAACCCGGAGCGGUCAAGUGAUACUGUCGUGCUAGAGUGCGGAAGGGGCUACUGGAAUUCUCGGUGUAGCGGUGAAAUGCGGUAGAUAUCGAGAGGAACACCUGCGGCGAAGGCGGGUAGCUGGGCCGACCACUGACGCUGGAGGAGCGAAAGCGUGGGGAGCGAACAGG
rnacentral:rRNA from 1 species